UACGGGGGGGGCAAGCGUUGUCCGGAAUCAUUGGGCGUAAAGCGCGUGUAGGCGGUCCGGUAAGUCCGCUGUGAAAGUCGGGGGCUCAACCCUCGGAUGCCGGUGGAUACUGUCGGGCUUGAGUACGGAAGAGGCGAGUGGAAUUCCUGGUGUAGCGGUGAAAUGCGCAGAUAUCAGGAGGAACACCAAUAGCGAAGGCAGCUCGCUGGGACGGUACUGACGCUAAGGCGCGAAAGCGUGGGGAGCGAACAGG
rnacentral:rRNA from 1 species